rnacentral:miRNA from 1 species
CACACACACACACACAAAAA